CCCCGUGUCCAAUAGUAAUAAAACUAUUUGUUUAAAAAUGAUAGGAUGAAACAUUGAUGCUUUUAUGCAAAUAGCCAAAUCCCCAAAUAAUGCAUAUACUUGUUAGGUCUGCUAUAACCCUUUGGUGAACUUGUCAAUACAUUCAAUGUAUUGACCACGUAGUGGCUGCAACGUUUAAAUGUUGCGGGUGAACCAGGUGAAGAGUGACAUACGAAUUGUUAGGGUUGCGAGUUUACAUUCCAACAUGUUUCGACUGUGCAGUUGUUAUGAGACUCCUGUAUCUUCUGCAAGAUUUUUUUUUUUUGAGCUAACCCAUGAGGUUAUGUAAUAUGUAAGGUAUUAUUAAAAUUCUGGAUCAAUGCGAUGUAAUAUACUUUUGACCUUUGUAUCUUGAUAUUACAUCUUGAAACUGUGUGUGCUAGCGAGUCGAUCUAGGGACUAGCACUGUAAGCACAGAGAAUGAACCCUGUACGGGGUCGGUCGCUUCAGAUGGUAUCACAGCAUUGUGUUGCCUGUAGAAUCGUGACCCUUAGAUUGGAAUUACCAUAUUAGGUACCUAUUUACCAAACUAAAAUUAUUUUUUGAAAACUCUCAUAUUCUAUCCUCGUCCAGUUCUUUCACUCUCUCAUCCAGUUUUGAAGGUUUUCGAACAUCGAAACCAGCAUACUUAGUCAAGGUAGACGUAAAUUGUGAGCUGUCACUUUCUGAUUUAUUGAUGGCCACAAAUAAUAAUAGUAAGUUAUUUUGGAUAACAAAAACUUGGUUCGUUAGCUUUUGAGACUUCUUUUCUUGGGCUUGGAUGCUUGAACUAUGUCAUUGCUUUUUGGAAUCUUACUUGGUUGGUGAUUGUUAUGCCUUACUUCCUUGCUGUUGGGUUAAGGUUCUUCUAGACCCCAUCUAUCUAUUUCUCAUCUAUGCUAUCCUAAACA
rnacentral:lncRNA from 1 species